UGGGAGGACGGACGCGAAUAGCAACCGACUCGUCCUCUUCUUCUCAUCUCUCUGUGUCGCUGUUUCUCUGCCAUGCCUUCUCUUCGUCUGCCAUGCAUCAGAUCAAGAGAGAGCGGUGUCUUCGAACCAACGCCGGCGUUUUGACGGCCUGCACGGGUGCCGUCGAAUCAGGUUUCUAGGAAGUGCUUUGCGCACGUCUGCUCGCGGUCCUCACCAUCACUCGUGGAAGUCAUUGGCCUUAAGGAUGGUGAGGAGGAUGAGACAAGCGACGCAUGGCAUCAGCUGACAGCUAUCACUAUCAGGCCAAGAACCGAAAAAACAAGCAUGCAUGAUUGCUUUUGGUGUCCCAAUAAUGUCUACCCCGACCCUCCUGGACAGGUGGUAUAGCAAAAUGAGGUCGCUUCACCACCUAAAGAUAGCCCACGUGCACGUUGCAAAUCCGCUGUCUGUCUGUCAAUGAAUCUGCGUCGUCCCCCCUGUGCGACGACACAUUUAUCAGACAUGGCGCUUGACAUGCAUGCAUCUCGAUCUGCAUGCACUGCACUGGGCUUCUGCACUGCACCCGAUCCGUUUCUGCAUAUGGAAUGCGUGGGACUUUCCUCAAGAAACCAUCUAAACCCAUAUCCAGGGCCGCUAACGCCAAUUGUCGUUGACCACCAGCGGCACAACGCAGUCAUCAGUCAUCACUCGUCAGCUUCUAGAGAGCGUUGAAACUUGUCGUACUCGUCCCUGUUCAUCAGCAUUCAGCAGCAGGCUAAACAAAGCCUAGAUAAACGAAGCACGUACGGUUGAACAA